rnacentral:rRNA from 1 species
UACGGGGGGGGCAAGCGUUGUUCGGAAUUACUGGGCGUAAAGGGCUCGUAGGCGGCCAACUAAGUCAGACGUGAAAUCCCUCGGCUUAACCGGGGAACUGCGUCUGAUACUGGAUGGCUUGAGAUUGGGAGAGGGAUGCGGAAUUCCAGGUGUAGCGGUGAAAUGCGUAGAUAUCUGGAGGAACACCGGUGGCGAAGGCGGCAUCCUGGACCAACACUGACGCUGAGGAGCGAAAGCCAGGGGAGCAAAGCGGG